rnacentral:lncRNA from 1 species
CCAGGGCCGGGCGCAGCCUCUGCACACGGCCCGCCGCCACGAUCUUGGACUGGGGGUCGUGCGCCGUGUUUCUGCCCCAGGCCCUCCGAGCUGAGUGGUCGGGGCAGCCACUUCACACCGGGAACGCUGGUCUAAAGCGCCAGGUCUGAGGCUUCUGCACAGGCACCUUUGAGCAAGUGACAUUAGACUAAGCACAAAAGAAAAGAAAAAGGUGAUGUGCUCUCACAGAAGCAGGUGACAGGUGGGAACACAAGGAGGCAGCAACUCUGCAGAGCAAGCAAACACAGCAGCCUCUUCCCUGAUGGUGUGGGGAGCAGCAGGAAAGCCAAGGCCAUUGCCAGCCCAGCACCCGGGAGGUGCCGCCCAGAUGCCGGAGAGCAAAAGGCAGUGCACCCCUGAGCUCACCAGCUGAGACAUCUUGUUUUUGUUUUCUCUGUGAAUGAUCACGGAUGCGCCAUCCAGGCUCUGACCAACACGGUGCAGCUCCUACAACCACGUAGCCUAUGGAUGGCGAAGCCCAGAGGCCGCGGGGCAGUCGCUGGGAGGUGCGGCUCAGAGGAGAGGACCUCCGUACACCUUCCAGCAAUAAAAGCAUCUGGUGGACGCCGCUGUGUAGGCUCUGGUUGCCAAGGCUUUCCGGAGCCGGGACGUCUCAGGCUUUACUGGACAUGCAGAUUGCCUGCAGAACGGGCGAAAAGGCAGAUGCCGAUUUGAUAGGCCUGAGGUGGACCCUGAGAUUCUGCAGUUCUGACAAGCUCCCAGUUGAUGCCAAGGCUCCUGGUCCAUGACCUGUACUUUGAGCAAUGAGAGUGUUUCAACAAGAUACCCAUGUAAUUUUGGUGUCCACGUUGAGAAGCGCUGUGCUACAUCUCAAGAAGCUGUGGGCCUUAAGAAGGACUCCUUGGGGUGACUGCAAGAGCUGUGACGUGGUCGGCUGUGGGCCAGCCUCUGGGAACAAGACGCAUUGACUUGGAGAUUCCAGAUGGUGCCAUCAGGUGUACAUAAGUGUCAGCAGUUCCCUGGGAGGAGUGGAAAGUGCUACUCUUAAGUGUUUCUGUCUGUGGUAGUCCCUUCUUAUUUAAUUCUCCUCAUAACUCUGAGGCAGGACCUUUUAUAGUUGCAACUUAAAGAUGAAGAAACCAAGGCUCAUGGGUUCCGCAGCGGGGUUUGAAUAAUCCUAUCAUGUCCAAGUCCACACACUCAGGCUGCCUGCCCUGCCUCCGGAUUCAGCACCCUGACAACCAUAAAAGAAGCAGAGGGGUCUGUGUAGGAGGCCUUGAUGGCCAAUGACCUUGAGCUGGCUUCAGCUGCAGGCACCAGUGGGCCAUCUCUAUGUGCUGCACUUAAAGCAGAAAAGUGGAGGCCAGGGGCCUGGGCCAAGUCCCCUUCCCCUGCCCUCCCUGUUCCAUUAGGCUUGGCAAGCCCCUGAGCCUUAGAUGGAGCUGGAGGGGAAGUGCAGACUCCUGUGCCCACUUCCGUCUGCGGCUGUGAGACCCCUGAACUGAAAACUCCAUGGCCUUCAAAAGCAUGGACAGACUUGUGGCACCUCUUUAAUUUUAAUUCCCAGCAUUUUGCCCCAACCCUGCAAGGCAAUGUGAGGGCAUGUAACAACUAAACUUAUUUUCCCCUAAACCCUUUAAUUAUGAUAAAAAUAGAAGGCCCUCAACCACCGUUAUCCAACUCGAUAACCAUGAAUAAUGCACAUUAAUGCACAGGCUAAGAAUAGGACAUGGGGGCGCUGAUGGAGCCAGCCAUGAGCAAACAGGAUCAGGAUAAACUCUGUGGGACUUCUAAGAGGUAUGUAUCCAAACACACAUCACCCGCAUCUUCAGACGCAGGUGCCAUAUGGUGAACCAGCAGCAUCACCUGGAAUGAACUUCUGAGAGGGCACGAGGAGUCCAACUCUUCUGAGUCUUCGAGGUGAUUCUGAUGUAUCUAAGAAUCACAGAUUUAUCUCAAAAAUGACUUCACUCGUCAAUAACUUCACUGGACUUUGAAAAGUAUCUCAAGGGGAUCCAGAAGAAAUAGUGUGGGCCAGCACAGGGAGUCAGAGUGGGGGGUCCGGGAGAUGCCUCCUCCUAGACUUCUCCUUGGAAGGAAAUCACUUUACUAUUUGGAACCCAGUGAAAGGAUGAGGGAUAACUGGAGAAAACAUUACUGAUGACUAUGAAACAGACCUUUUGCUAUUUAACUUAUGCUGCUUUAAGUCUUCAAAGUACUUUGAGGGAGAGCAGCUGACACCUGAGAUGUGACAGUGCUACCACCCAGAGAAGGGGCAGGAUCCUGGAGUCUCACCAUCAGACCUAGCCAAUUAUGGCUUCAAAUCUGACUUCGUUCCCAGACACUCAGGGAAUAUCAGAAGUGGUGACCAGUGGAAAAUAAAACUGAGUCAGAUAGAAAGAUGAAUGGUGGUUUUGGAUGGAAAGACUCUAUCAUAAAGAUCUCAAUUUUUGAGAAAAAGGAAAUUUGACACACGCAGGGCCUCUGUCAAGGUGUAAGACCCAGCUCCACCCACCAGAAGGCCCCUGGACCAACCUCAGGCACCAGGAACAAGAGGCGCUAUGGUCCUGUAGAACAGAGACCACAAGCACAGAAAGUGAGACAAAAGGAGACAGCAGAGAAAUACAUUCCAGAUGAAGGAUCAAGAUAAAAACCCAGAAAGUACCACUAAGUGAAGUAGAGAUAGCCUACCUGAAAAAGAAUUCAGAGUAAUGGCAGUUAAGACAAUCUAAGCUCUUGGAAAAAAAAAAGUGGGAUAUAUUCAGACAGUCCCACUCAUGUCACCUGCUAGCUGUGUGGCCUUGGGCAAGUCGCAUCUUCUUGAGAAGGUUUGCUAAUGCUCAGCCUAGAAUGAUACAUAGGAACGUCUCAGUGAAAGAGUUACAGUUAGUUCUGUCGCAUGGGAUGGCUUUUUUAAGCGUGAAAUCACUCUUCUCCGUCACAUAAAAAAAAGUGUUGGCCAACCAACUCUUGAUGGUCUGCAAGCCAAGCCUUUGUCCUGCUGUUGCUAAUGCCACAGAAAGAACAGGUGAAAUGGGGUGUGUCACUUAUUUGCCUGUACUGUUACCCGGGGAAGUGUAAGAACUCGUCCAGUGUCUGGAAGCCACACAAACGCACUGCUGAGGGAUGGAGCAUCUUUGAGGAAAAGACUCUUAUCUGAGCCUCCCCCUCCUCUCCACAACCACCCACACAAUGGAGCAGAUGGCCCCCAUGCUCUACUUCUGGCUCCCAAACGUCUUUGAAUCUCAGAAUUUCAAACAGAACCUCACUCUGAAAGACAGAGGAAGACACAGGUCCUGGUUCAAAGUCCCUUUGCUCUUUAUGCUGUAAGAGGACACCUAUGUCAUGUUGAAAUCAGAUGUUGAUAUUCUAGAACCACCCACCCAGGUAGGACUUGCAGGAAGCCCCCAGGGCUUGCUGCAGCUGUUCUUCAGGGAAGCCACUAGGGGCAGGGUUGGACCAGUGGCUGCCCCACCACCUCCUGUCAAAUUAGAAGCUGAGUUGAGUGUGGACAUCACCACCAGCUGCUGCCCCUACCAUGUGAGUCUCCUAGUGGGACCACCUCUCUGAAACCUCACAAGGACUUCCUGCAGAUAAGAGCUGAGCUGUCUUUUCUACACUGUCCAACCCGCAUUCAUGAAGCUCCAUCAGUUGUUCUCAAUAGAAGCUGGGAGCCUGGGCAAUGUCCAUGGACAUUUUUUGGUUUUCACAACUGGGUAGCGGCCAAAGAGGCUAGUAGCAUCCUGCGAUGACACGGAUAGCCCCCAAUAACAAAGACUCAUCCAGCUGAAAAUAUCGAUAUUGCUCACACUGAGAAACCCUGAGCUUAAUCUCUUCUGAGCUAAAGUAUUGUCUUUUCCAGGAAUCACUCUGGGCUGUAGCUUCUUCCCAAGAGGAUGACGGUGACCUUGCUCCCACUGAGGUGACCCAGAAAGCUAUCAGAGCACUCGCACCAUUGCAUCCAUCGAGCUAUAGUUCCUGGUCACUCUUUCCUCUUCUAGAGCAGGAGGCCCUUCAGGAGGGAAAGCUAGGAUCAGGUCCUUUUUGCUCUUUUUAAACUUCAGGGGCAGCGUGUUCAUCAUAUCAACUCAUUUACAGAACGUCUCUUCCUUGGUCUACGCAGCAUCUAACAAAGGUUUGGCACCAAGUAGACAAUAUCCAAUGCUAUAUCUGGAGAUUGUAACUCACUUUUGUUAUCUUGCUCAACUACUCGGCAUGAAAAAAUAAGAUUCAAAAAGUCAUCUGGUCCAUGAAAAAUGAGGACUCUCACCCACAGUGGGGUGUGGAUUUGGGGUAGGGCUAAGCCAGGUGGGUGCCAGAGCCUUUCAGUCACUGUCUUCUGUUUGAGGCAGUGGCUGAACUGGCCUCACCAGGCCUCUGCUAUGGACUUUGAGGGAGGCAGUCUUGCAGAGUGGGAAAGAUCCUUCUUGGCUCCUCAUACCUUGAAGAGAAUGAAGCAACUCUAAAGUUUUUUAGGGAUCUCAGGAGACCUGGAUUGAGAACAACCAGGCUAGACUCGUCUGGGGCUCCAGUGGUGGCACCGCACAUGCUCCGUUGAUGGAUAUGAACCUAUGUCUUGCCCAACCUUCCGAAUUUGAGCCUCGGGCUUGCUUUCUCCAUCAUCUAUGUAGCCCCUGACCUGUGUCACAAGCCAUUGCAUUGGGCCUUGGAGCUCGGUUAUAGAAUGUGCAUGUCUGACUCCUGCUACUCCCAACAUUUGGGUCUCUGCUUUGGAGCACUCGGAAAAACCACAGGAAAGUAGCCUCCUCUGGACCCAGAACAUCCUUGGCUGUUGUGUCGGCUCAGACACUCCCCCUCCCCACUCUCAUCCCCUGCCAGGCUUCUGGCCUCAGGAAAAACUGAAGAAAACCAUAAAGGACAGUGAACUUAGGGUUGUGCAAGCCAACAUUCUGCUGUUGCUGAGUCAACUGUUGCUGAGUCAACUAACUCAAUAAAAUUCAGCUGAAUUUUUUAUUUGCUUGCUGAAAUUUUUCCAAUGUUACAAGCGUGAAAUUGGAGCAUAAAAUCCAUAUGAGGUUUUAUUUAUUGCUUCAUGCAUUUCGGCGAAGAUGCUGAAGAGAUGGCUUCUUGCUAAUGCUGGUCCCAACUGCAUCUGGGUAUGUGAGAGCUGACUUUAGCAUGUCUUUAUGGGUCAUUCUGCUUUCUGUGACCAUGUCUUCUCUGUAAGUCUUGAAAGUCCCUACGGGAUAAAACACAGGAUCCACUCAGGUACUUAACAUCCUCCCCGCCCCCCCCGCCACAGACCUGCCCCAUCACACCGUCUAUUGCCAUCUCCACAGAGCUUGGGACUAGCCAGAAACCAGCACUGUCCCAUCACCAAGGCUUCUCAGCCUCUACAGGCUCUCCUAGCUCUCACUCAACUCAAACUACAAUGAAGAUGGAGAUGAGAAUUGUGGUGUGAUGAUAGGAAGACAUCAAAGAAUGCUAAGCUUCACAAGAACCAUCUAAGUCAAGUUCUAUUAUUAUCUAACAUUACCAAUAAGGACGCUGAGUCACAAAGGACUUAUUUUUGCUUACGGUUGAACAGUAAAACAGGUGCGAAUUCAAACCGAGGUGUUCUGGCUCCAAAGCCUUGGUUCCUAAUCCCUGGGCUGUUCCAUCUCCAGUGAUGACUACAGCUUUUCUGCUUUCAUUAUUCAGGGAAUGUGUCACCAACUAAGAUGUCAGCACAAGCCAAUCUGGGAGAGAUCUCGCCAUUCUGAAAUCACAACAUUUUGUCCUUACUCUUGCACAAUUAAGAAUAAAUAGUAUGUUCAAAUUAGUCAUUUUGUAUUAGGAUUAAGAUCUUGUAAAAUUUGUAUGCAUCUUUGUAUAAAAGUAUGAUCUUCAUUUUUUAUGCUUGCACAAGACCGUAUCCCAAAUCACUUUACCCGAAUAUAUUAGUUUCUCUG